CAAAAACAUUUUUUAAUGAUAUAAUAUUAAAUAAAGCCUGCUCCUUGUAGAAUAAAAAGCCGCAGAAUAUUCACUGUGCUAAGGUAGCAUAAUCACUUGUCUUUUAAUUAAAGUCUAGAAUGAAAGGCAUCACAAUUAAUUAAUUUUCUUAAUUACACUAAUUUAAUUUUCAGUAAAAAUUAAAAUAUUUUUAUAAACCUAAUAGACGACAAGACCCUUUCGAACUUAACUGCAGUUAAGCUGGGGAAGCUAAAUAAUAAUAAUCUUAAUACUCCGUUUUCCAUAAACAUCCUUAAAAAGAAUAAUCAAGUUACCGAAGGGAUAACAGCGUUAUAUUUUUUUAAAGCUCAUAUUAAUAAAAUUAUAUACGACCUCGAUGUUGAAUUAAUUUUACUCCCCCGUGCAAGAACAGGCACAGUAAGUCUGUUCGACUUUUAAAAAAUUACAUGAUCUGAGUUCAAACCGG
rnacentral:rRNA from 1 species